UACGUAGGGUGCGAGCGUUAAUCGGAAUUACUGGGCGUAAAGCGUGCGCAGGCGGUUUUGUAAGCCAGAUGUGAAAGCCCCGGGCUCAACCUGGGAAUGGCAUUUGGGACUGCAAGGCUUGAGUGCGGCAGAGGAGACUGGAAUUCCUGGUGUAGCAGUGAAAUGCGUAGAAGAUGUGGAGGAACACCGAUGGCGAAGGAGCA
rnacentral:rRNA from 1 species